ACACUGGAACUGAGACACGGUCCAGACUCCUACGGGAGGCAGCAGUGGGGAAUAUUGCACAAUGGGCGCAAGCCUGAUGCAGCCAUGCCGCGUGUGUGAAGAAGGCCUUCGGGUUGUAAAGCACUUUCAGCGGGGAGGAAGGCGUUAAGGUUAAUAACCUUGGCGAUUGACGUUACCCGCAGAAGAAGCACCGGCUAACUCCGUGCCAGCAGCCGCGGUAAUACGGAGGGUGCAAGCGUUAAUCGGAAUUACUGGGCGUAAAGCGCACGCAGGCGGUCUGUCAAGUCGGAUGUGAAAUCCCCGGGCU
rnacentral:rRNA from 1 species